AUACGUAGGGGGCGAGCGUUGUCCGGAAUGAUUGGGCGUAAAGGGCGCGUAGGCGGCGCGGUAAGUCUGGAGUGAAAGUCCUGCUUUCAAGGUGGGAAUUGCUUUGGAUACUGCCGCGCUUGAGUGCAGGAGAGGUUAUCGGAAUUCCCGGUGUAGCGGUGAAAUGCGUAGAGAUCGGGAGGAACACCAGUGGCGAAGGCGGGUAACUGGACUGCAACUGACGCUGAGGCGCGAAAGUGUGGGGAGCAAACAGGAUUAGAUAUCCUGGUAGUCCACACUGUAAACGAUGAAUGCUAGGUGUAAGAGGUAUCGACCCCUUUUGUGCCGGAGUCAACACAAUAAGCAUUCCGCCUGGGGAGUACGGCCGCAAGGUUGAAACUCAAAGGAAUUGACGGGG
rnacentral:rRNA from 1 species